rnacentral:rRNA from 1 species
UACGUAGGGCGCAAGCGUUGUCCGGAAUUAUUGGGCGUAAAGAGCGCGUAGGCGGUCCGAUAAGUCGGCUGUGAAAGUCAGGGGCUCAACCCUUGAAAGCCGGCCGAUACUGUCGGACUAGAGUCCGGAAGAGGCAAGUGGAAUUCCCGGUGUAGCGGUGAAAUGCGCAGAUAUCGGGAGGAACACCGGUGGCGAAGGCGGUUCUCUGGGCCUUACCUGACACUGAGGAGCGAAAGCGUGGGGAGCGAACAGG